rnacentral:rRNA from 1 species
GUUACGCUAAUACCGCAUAUUCUGUGAGCAGGAAAGCAGGGGGAUCGCAAGACCUUGCGCUGAUUGAGCGGCCGAUAUCAGAUUAGCUAGUUGGUGGGUAAAGGCCUACCAAGGCGACGAUCUAUAGCGGGUCUGAGAGGAUGAUCCGCCACACUGGAACUGAGACACGGUCCAGACUCCUACGGGAGGCAGCAGUGGGGAAUUUUGGACAAUGGGGGCAACCCUGAUCCAGCCAUGCCGCGUGAGUGAAGAAGGCCUUCGGGUUGUAAAGCUCUUUCGGCCGGGACGAAAUCGCACGGGCUAAUAUCCUGUGUGGAUGACGGUACCGGAAUAAGAAGCACCGGCUAACUACGUGCCAGCAGCCGCGGUAAUACGUAGGGUUCGAGCGUUAAUCGGAAUUACUGGGCA